rnacentral:rRNA from 1 species
GAUGAACGCUGACAGAAUGCUUAACACAUGCAAGUCAACUGUGGCGGACGGGUGAGUAACGCGUAAAGAACUUGCCUCACAGCUAAGGACAACAUUUGGAAACGAAUGCUAAUACCUGAUACUGUUAGAGAGCUUUUCGUCCCAUUAGCUAGUUGGAGAGGUAACGGCUCACCAAGGCGUUGAUGGGUAGCCGGCCUGAGAGGGUGAACGGCCACGAGGGGACUGCGACACGGGCCUUACUCCUACGGUAGGCAGCAGUGGGGAAUAUUGGGCACUGGCCCAAAGUCUGAUCCAGCAAUUCUGUGUGCACGAUGAAGUUUUCGGAAUGUAAAGAGCUUUCAGUUGGGAAGCGGUACCUACAGAAGAAGAGACGGCUAAAUACGUGCCAGCAGCCGCGGUAAUA